AGAAUCAACGCUGGCGGCGUGCCUAACACAUGCAAGUCGCACGAGAAAGGGGAGCAAUCCCUGAGUACAGUGGCGCACGGGUGAGUAACACGUGAAUGAUCUACCUCCGAGUGGGGAAUAACUGAGAGAAAUCUUGGCUAAUACCGCAUAAUACCCACGGGUCAAAGCAGCAAUGCGCUUGGAGAGGAGUUCGCGGCCGAUUAGCUAGUUGGCGGGGUAAUGGCCCACCAAGGCGAUGAUCGGUA
rnacentral:rRNA from 1 species